GAUUAUAUAGUGAACACGAAGACACUAAUAUUUUUGGGAUCUACUAGUACGUUUGGCUUCAUUGCGUAUGCUAAUUCUGUGACUCAAGUGUGGGAUCACGGACAACAAAGAUAUGAGUUGGUAGUGAGAAAAUCAAAAGUGGAUGUGAAUCGCGUGUUUGAUGACAGUUUUCAAGGAGCUGCGUCGAGAGAGCUACAACCAAUUGCACCUCUGCAUAUUAUACGUCUUCACAAAUUAUUCCAAUUCCUUCAAUAACUAUUAGCUCAACUCAUUUUUGUUCUCCAAGCUCCAAAGAGUAAGGUAUGGUAUGCUGCAAUAUGAGAUGAUUUCUCUUUUCGACAGAAAAUAACUGAGCAGGAUAGUGCAUUUAAAAUGGAGGUAUAGGGAAAGGAAGUUGCAAAAACUAUCUGUAUUACUUGGCUUCGAGGUUGCAUCAAGUGCAUGGCAGACUUGAUUGAGCAGGAGUUGCGAAAUUUCUCUACGCUUGCGAUUCUGUUUUCCCACAUUGGCGCGAAGAUAAAUAGCUUAUUGUAUCAGGCAUCAGGAUACCAUUUUGGCGACAAGAGGGG
rnacentral:lncRNA from 1 species